AGCACUGAGUAUUUCUUCCUAUUCUGACAGGCUCUACCAUUUGGCAGGAGAACAUUAUCGCGGAAUGAAGGCAUGGACGUAUAUGUAACGGUGACGGUGUUCCUUGGAGUUCAGAGUGCAAAAGAGCAUCGCAAGGGGAGCAUGUUGCCUUGAUGAGCAGUUUUGCUAGAUUUCCAGAGUGUAGGUGGCUUGCAUAGGUGUACGGGUUAUUGCAAGCCUUGCUGUAUACAGGAUGCUAUACGGGAUACAUGCUGAACGCUUUGAUAUGGUUCCCCAAUUUAAGUCGGUUGCACUAGCGUGGGGGAGAAAAUGGAUAUUCAUAGACUUUUUAUUUCC